GAUUGCAAUCAGGUCCCUGAACGCUCCGGAGCUCGUCUGAUCUCAGAAGUUAAGCAGGGUUGGGCCUGGUUAGUACUUGGAUGGGAGGAUUGCAAUCA
rnacentral:rRNA from 1 species